rnacentral:lncRNA from 1 species
UUGAUCGCGCUCUUCCACCAUAGAAACAAUUUUGAUUUUGAUGUCGGUCUAAAAAAUAGUUUAUGUUUUUUUUAAAAAAAUGAUUUAGUUUACACGUAGGCACAUAAACAUUUACAUAUAGAUGCACAUAAUUUCUUUUGAAAUUCAUAGGUAGGUGGUACUUCCGGGGACGCGUCGGGUUUAAAAAGUUUGAACUAGACCUCGUAGUUCCUUUGACUUUUUCACUAACGAUAGGUUAGGAGAUAGUGGUUAUAAUUUACUUUCAAAAUAAACAAUGUCAAAAUCAAUCCAAAGUUUAAAAGGAAGAUUGAAUAAUGACUUUUUAAGAAAAUUAUGUUACAAGGUUUUGAUAUGAAAUAUUUUUAAACCCAAGUUAAAUGCAUGAAAUGAUUCUAAAUUAGUAUUAAGAAAAAAAAAUAUUGCAUCAUGAAUGCGGAAAACAAAUGGGAUUACUAGUUAAAUAAUAUUAACUAAUUUUAGGGGAGGGCUCAAAUAUGCACAAACAAAUUUUAAUUUUUUAUGGACAUGCUGAGAGUUUAUUUACAACCCUAUAGACAUGAUUUCUAGGUGUUAAAAAAAACAGAGUAACAUAUAUAUGCAUGAUUUGGUAAAUGACGUGAACAAUUUAAUACUUAGGCAUAGUUCUACGUGAUAAGACAAAUGAAAAUUUAUAACAUAUUUUAACAUCUAACAACCUAUUAUAUUAUUAGGACUUGAUUUUAAUAUUUAAAAAUUAAUGGAAUCUAGUUAUUAUUUUUUCAGACUUAUUAACGAAAGCGUAAAGCAAAUUGAAAAUUGGUUAGAUUAUAACACCUACAAAAUAUUAAAUCAAGGCGAUUAAAGACAAACCUAUAGGCAUGAUUUCUAAAAAAAAUUAAUGAAACAAGUAAGCAUAUAAAUCCCCCUCCCCUAGACGACCCCCAAAUAAAUUUAUUAUAUGAUCUUUAGAGUUACAAUUGUUACAACAUUCGAGUAAAUAAAAUAGGAGAAAAAAUAAAUAAAUACAUAUACAUUCAAAUAAACAAAUAAAUCUUUCUUCAAUUAAUCUUCAACUUGAACUUCAAGUUUGAAACAUGUUAAAGCAGUCAAAUAACGUUUGAAUAGAUUAGAAAUGGUAGCAAUGAAAAGCAAGUUGAUCCAACCUUUACUCGAACAAAAGCAAAAAGCAAGGUAGCGAAGAAGAGCACUUGAAUGUUUAUCGAAAUAUUAAUGUAUUUAGAGUAGCAAGAGAGCAAUGAGAAUGAAGAGGGAUGAGAACUUGUGAUUUUGAGAGUGAAUGAGUGUAUGAGUUCUUUUUUUUAAUGAAUAAAUGGGGUCUUAUUUAUAUAGCAAAGAGGGGUGCACUUAAUAAGGGAAAUAAAUAAAUUAAGGAAUCAAUUAUUAAACCAUUUUCCUUAAUUUAGAGGGGAGCUAAAAUCAGAAAAUUAUAAGAAUAUUUCAUCAUCAAAAAUGAAAUAAGUACAAAUAAUAUUUUACCUUGAAUAAGGAAGAGACAAAAUCAAAUUUUUUAUUAAAAAUCUAUUACCAAAAAUAGAUAAGUAAGAAUAAAAGUUAGGAAAAAUAAUAUUUUCCCUUAAAUAAAGAAGACCUAAAAUUAAAUUAUUAUUAAGCUACCAAAUAUAAACAAAUAAAAAUAAAUUAGGAAGAUCAAAAUUAUUUUCUUAACUAAUAAAGAGUCAUAUAAAAAUAAAUAAGAAAUCACUCAAUUUUCAAGUAAGGAAAAAAGAGAUCAAUUAAUAUAUAUAUUUUUUUAAUUUUAUUCAGUCGUACAAGAAAAUAACUAUUAACCCGUUAUCACCAUGAAGCAAAAAAAUGAACUAAUUAUUUUUUAAAUGAAAGGAAAAUCGAUUUUAACACUAAAUUCUUUUAAUGAAGAGUAAAAUUAGUUCAACAUCUAUAAUUUUAUGAAAUACGAAAUAUGCUGAAAACUUUAAUUGAGGUAAAACAAAUAAGCCAAAACUUUUGUUUACAUCAAUAGAAUGAAAGCUUACUAUACAUUAAACAUGCAAGAAUCUUCCAUCCACAUGCUAAUUUUAGCAUUUUUUCAUAUUGGAGCAGAGUUGACAGGUGCUAAAUAGCAAAACAAAAUCGUGAACAGUUAAAGAAUCAGAUGAACAAAAAUUAUACAAAAUCAUAACUGAUUGAUUCAACAAGCUCCAAAAUCUUAGCUAGGACAUUUCAUAAGAAAUAAAAAAAACACAAUACUAUCUAGAUUAAUUCAAGUGUAAAAAAAAAUUUAUUUUGAGUCAAGGAGGUAAGAUAUGUGCUAGUGAUGAUCAGCACUUUAACAUUCACAAAUUGCAAUUUGCUAUUUAAACAUCAAAACUAUAACUUAACAUAAUGAACAUAAUAAAACAUUACUAUCAAGAGUAUAUGAAUCACAAAGGAUUGAACAAAUGAAAUAAUAUAUAAUAGAAUAGGAUUUAUACCGGGACGGAUCUGUUUGAGAUCCGUCUUAAACUUUGCCGGUGUUGAGAGCAAUGCAAACGCGAGAGCCUUUCUGGUUGUCGGCUACUGCUGGAGAGUUCGCCUACGUUAUCCCUGCAAAAGAAGAAGAAGAGAACAGGGGAAGGAGGGGAGAAACGAGAGGAAGAGAGGAGAGGGGGCGGCUGCUGUCUGUUGGUCGCAGCUGCUGGCCGGAAUGGCCUGACUGCUGUUGGUCGUUGUUGUUGCAGUUUGACUGCUGGCUGUCCUCGUCGGAGUGCUGCUGGUCAGACGAGGAAGAAAAGAGAAGAAGAAGAAUGGAGGAGAGGAAAGGGGAGAAGGGAGAAAAGAGAGAGGGAGGAAGAGGUAGAGCGACGGGAGUCAGGGAGGUGGAGAGACUGCAGGGGAGGCGGCGUCUGGAGAGAGGAAGAGGUGCGGCUGGUCGUUGCCAGCGUCCAUCUCUGAUGGACCGAGAAAUUUUGUUGCUGGUCGUUCACCGCCUCACCAGAAAAGGAAGAGAAAGAAGGGGAAAGAGAAGAGAAGAGGAAGAGAGAGGGAAGACGACAAGAGAGAGAGGGGCGUCGCCGCCUCGCUUGGGGUUGACGAUUUCCACCGGAAAGAAUGGAGAGAGGGAGGUGGGGCGGCUGGAGAGAGUAGGAGAGGGUGAGAGAAGAAGUG